GCUCAGCCCUACACAUUCUGUGUGAGCCUGGGCAAGUUACUUCACUUCUUUGUGCAUCAGUUUCCUCAUUACCAAAGUGGAGAUAAAAGUACCUAUUUCAUAGGAAAUUAGGGAGAUUG
rnacentral:snoRNA from 1 species